GCGGGGGCGGGGCAGGGGGGUGGGGAGGAGGCCGGACUGUCCCCUGGUGGGAGGCCUGGACGUGGAGGGAGUGCAGUUGGGCCCUGGUGUCUUAGCAUUCAACAGGGCGCUGAGCACCUGCCCUGUGCCUGGUGAAAAGAGCCAAAGCUUCACAGGCAUCGCUUUUUGACCACCCACUUCCCCUCCACUCAUUCACUCCAUUACAGCUUCCCCGGAAUAACUGUAAUUUGUCCCAUUUUUUGAGCACCUGCGGUAUCCCUAGCUCAAAGUACACUGUUUUCACAAAUGGAUUAAAAAAAAAACAAAAAACAAAAAAAACGCCUUCGCGGUGAUUCCCUUCAUCAGUGUUCUCUUUACCAGGCAAUUAACGCGGUCAGUUGUGGAUUGGUUUGUUCAUUCAUUCAUUCGUUUUGUAAAUGGUCCCUGAGCUUCUGAGAUGCACAGCCGUUUUCCAAACGUUCCCCCAUGCCCCAGGCAUCCUUCUCCGUUGUGUGCGUGCUUUACCCCGCAGGGCCGAAUUGAGAAUGAUAGACAAAAGCUAUUUUUUGCCAUCUGGCAGCAGAGAAAACAGGCCGAGAGGCUAAGAAAAGGGUUGACAACUCAGUUGUCUUCAGGGUUCAGGUGAAACAGCCCCGGGUAAGAAAGUUCAACUUUUAAUUUCACCAUAAGAGAAAGAAUGAUGAAAUAACCACAGACACCAGGUCUCUGCAGCAGGGACCACGGAAGUGGGACUUGGGCAAAAUGGAGAGCAGGCCCUAUCUAAUCAGCCGCAGCUAAUGGCCGCCGUGUGAAAAUGAAGAUCCCCCGUGGCCAGGCUUUGGGGCAAGGGAAGUCAGACAUCCAGGCUUUAGGUCAGUUUCUCUGCUUUUUAAAAAUUGAAAAUCGGGUCCAAUUCGAACACAGUCCACGUGGGCCAAGUCAAAGCUGCAUGGGCAGAGUGUCUCUCUCUAAAUUAUUCUAGGCAGUUAAGGGAGAGGUGAAAAGCUCAUCUUGAGUCUGUUGGACCUUGAUUGUUUUCAGCUCAAAAUAAUCCACACGUCCAAGUAGCAAAUUCUGGGGCAGCCUGCCGUAAACCCCAUCAAGGAGUUAAAAAGAGAGCUCUGGAGUCAGAAAGACAGGCUUUACACUUGAGUUGGGGCAAGACUUAAUUUCUGUGACGGUUUAAUCCUCUAAACUGAAGUGGAUAUGGUAAAGGUUAAAUAACCGAACGCACGUAGGAGCGGAAGCGUGGUGCUCAGUUUCUCAGCGCUCAGUUGCAAUCGGUACAUGGUAGAAAGCGGUACUUUGACUCAGUACUUUGAGAAUCACAUGUGCUGCGGGAAUUAUCACUAGACCACCAAAAGUCCCACUCAACUGGGAGAUUCGAUGCUUUUAUGCCCGGUUUUCCCUCUCAUAUUUUUAUAUAUGGCUGUUGUGUUUUUGCUUUUGUUAUGUCUUUUGGGGAGGAUUGAUAAUUCUUCAAACAGUCCAGGAAGUAUUCUCAUGUCUCUCUCCAUUGCCGUUUGGUUUAAUAGCUACCUUUUUUUGGAACAUUUUUGGGGGCCGCAUUCCAGAGAUUGUGCUAAGAACUUUACAGGCAUUGUUUUAUUUAAUCCUCAUUACACCCUGUGAACUAGGCCCUUGUUACCCGAUUUUUCAUUUUCUAUGUAUCCAUAGUCACAAGGCCGAGUAGGAAAGCAAUGUCCUACAAAAGUCUUGCUAAUAAACCAGCCACUUAUAAAAUUAGUCACUACUUAAUAAUUUCCUGCUUAUCCCUACCAGUGCCAUUAAUAUCUUUGGCAGUCAGUUUCUAGCUAAUCAAUAAGUGUGGUAAACAUCAGGAUAAUACAAUGGAAAUAAAACUAACUGCAAACAAAAAUUACACCUCUCCCAAGAGCAAGACUUCGUGAAAUCUCUGAAAGUAAUGAGAACUCCUUACUUACAUCGCCCUCAGCCUGACACCAGUGAACAAGAGGAGAAGAAAAAUGAGCAAAGAUGAUGAUGUGAUAGGAAUUUGACAAACGAAGGAUUUGCAUAGCAAAGAAUAAAAUUAGGCCUUUGGGAAACCUGAUAAAGCCCAGGAAUGUUUCAGUAAAACUGACCUUUCCGUGUUGUAAAAGUGAGACAGGAAAUAAAAUAUCUUAGUGUUUGAGGGGAAAUGCACCAGGAAAAAAAAAAAAAAAAAACAGUUGACACUGUAAGUUAUUCUUGGAUUAUUUUAAGAAUUGGUAUAUAGCUGCCAUUAUAACCUAUGUUUUGUUAAAUAUAAUAUGAACUUCAUAAUUUUAGGCUCCUAUUUCAAGAUAAAGUUCCUCUCAAAUCUUUUUCCCCCUCUAUUUACUAUCAUAUGUUGUUUCUGAGGGAUAGUUUUGGCUGCAAUUAACUGAAAACUCUGACUCAAAAUGGCUUAUUUCUUAGAAGCCUAGAGGUGGGUCUGUGAAGGUGAUUGUUUCCAUGGCCCUGGCUUUUUGUUUCUUACUGCUCUGCCAUCCUCAGGUCUCAGCUUGGUACAGAUGCAGGGGUCACAUCCAAAUGAAAAGCCUUCCUCAGUUUCCUGCAGAUUUCCUAUCCUGUUUCUUUCUCCAGAAUUGGGCCAGUAUCCAUGCCCAUUCCCAAUGAGAUGAGCUCAAUUGGCUUAGACUAGCCCUGAAGUACUUAGCUUUGUGGGGGAGUAAUGGCAACCCAAAUUAAGUUGGCUUUCUGUUGGGAAGGAAGAAGGGGGCUAAGGGCAACCCACAGAUCCAGUCACAACCUUUUGAAUGAAUUCACUUCGUAGUGGUUCUGAUUGGUUUUGGAUCAGGUACCGACUUUUACAGACCAGUCAGUACUCUUGCUAUUUCUAACUUCUUGUUAUUUCUAAUUUACAGAUUAGUAGUUGAAGACUCAGAGGAAGUGAAAUGACUUGUCCAAGUUCACACAGCUAAUAAGUGGUAGAGGUAGAAUUUAAACUCAGAUCUUCUGACUCUGAGUCUUGUUCCUAACUCAAGUUAUAUUUUCUAAAAUGGCUUUACUGCACCUAUAAAGAUCCUAGUAUUGCUCAAGGUGCGAUCUACACACAAGGACACAAAUCUUAUGUAAAAUUAAAAGGCUUAGUUAAUCUGUACCAAUCCCUAUAGAGUGAAUCACUGUUCGGUCAGUUAUAAAUAUAUUGCUUGUACCUCUCUUUAACCAUUCACUUAAUUUUGACUUUACUGGCUACCUAUGUAAUUCUCUCUCUGCUCUCUAAACUUAGAGAGCAGAGACUGGCUAAUUAGUUUGUGUAGCAAUUAGUAUAGUGUUCGGUACAUAGCAGGACUUGGUAAAUGUUUGAAAUUAAACAAAGGACUUGUCCAUAGUUAGUAAAAGUAGUUGUGCUCGGACUAGAAGCCAAGUUGUUGGACAGAACCCUCUCAGUGGUCUUCCUAGUAUACUUUUCAUGUUUUAUAAGGAGAACCUUCUGUGCCAUAGUCAAAUCAUUUAAUUCUCAUUCGGUACGCGUGCUUAGAGCACCGGGUGUGCUCCACGCGCGGGAGCAGGCACUGGGAGCACACUGGUGGCGCUCUCCGGUAGGGAAUACAGACACCUGCAAAGUAGAUGGGAAGCAAGGCUGGCUGACUCCCUCCCUCCAGAUCCUGGCUGGGCACCCUUAGAUAUAAGCAGUCAGGGGGAUUCAGAAAGGUGUGAAACCAUGUUCCUGUCUUGAAGGGAGUCAAUGCUUUAACUUAGACAACUAAGUACAGAUGAAAAUAACCGCAGUGCUCAACGAAUUCUUAACAAAAGAUUUGUAUAUCUCACUGUAUGUCAGUGCUAUCUCAAUAAAAAAGAUUGAACGAAGUGGGGAAAAAAAUAACAGAAUUCAGCCUAGUACCCAUUAUGUUUGAAACAUACGAUGCCAACAAAGACAUUAUGUUUACAGAUCUUUAAGCAAGUUAUUGAACCUGAACAGUGUGUUGAGGGUCGAGUAUUCUGAAAAAGGAGAAAUAUUUUGAAAGCGGACAGGCAGCAUAAGGGUUAACUACACAGACUGUAGCCAAGCAGGCUUAGUUCAAAUCCCAGAUCCCCAUCCUUGAGAACAUUUU